UCUCGGGUGGUAUCACGCACACUCCGACCGCAGAUCUCGAUCUGGACCCACGAAACUCACUUCAUUGCAUCAUGAGUAUAACAACACAACUAAACGUCCCAGAGAUACGAAACUUGGCACACAACUAAAAAGCCCCAGAAAUAUAAAGCUUCACAACACAAUGCAAAAACCUUGCCUCCCGGUUGUAACAACACAAUCACACCACAAAACCACAAUCUGGACCCACAAAACUCACAACAAUGCAUUGUGACUAUAACAACACAACUAAACGCCCCAGAAAUACAAAACUCACAACAACGCAUCAUGACUAUAACAACACAACUAAACGUCCCAGAAAUACGAAACUUGGCACACAACGCAAAAGCCUUGCCUCCCAGUUGUAACAACACAACCACACCACAAAACCACAAUCCGGACCCACAAAACUCACAACAACGCAUUGUGACUAUUACAAAUACAAAAUUUGACAACACAACUCAUCCAGCUCCCCAAUCCCUACAUUCACACUUGGCCUCCAAAAAAACAAUUACAAUAAUAACAAUGACAACAACAACAACAAUAAGAAUCAACACCAUCACAGGCAAGAAACAGCCAGGCACUGAGGCUGAGAGGCCAGUCAGUGCUACACUGGACCUCCAAAAAACAAUACAGUAG
rnacentral:lncRNA from 1 species